rnacentral:rRNA from 1 species
CAGUAGCCGCGGUAAAACGUAGGGUGCGAGUGUUAAUCGGAAUUACUGGGCGUAAAGCGUGCGCAGACGGUUGUGUAAGACAGGUGUGAAAUCCCCGGGCUUAACCUGGGAACUGCGCUUGUGACUGCACAGCUAGAGUAUGGCAGAGGGGGGUGGAAUUCCACGUGUAGCAGUGAAAUGCGUAGAGAUGUGGAGGAACACCGAUGGCGAAGGCAGCCCCCUGGGCCAAUACUGACGCUCAUGCACGAAAGCGUGGGGAGCAAACAGGAUUAGAUACCCGGGUAGUCCCUGUCUCUUAUAC